UGCUUAUUUAUUCGCAUACUCAUUUCUAUAGGUGCUAAACCAUAGAUUAAAAAGUAAAUACUGAUAUAAGUAACAGAUAAUAACGUAAUAAGUACCAUUGCCAUAAGUAAUGCCAUACUCGUUUCCUUUAUCCUGUGGGGUUGCAGUAAAACUAGCAAUAAAGUGAGUUUAGGCUUGCCCUUCGAUAUUUUGAAACCAGAAUUGUGAGAUAGCUUGCCAUUAUAAAAAUUGAAAUGUGACGUGACCACAUUUAAUACAAAAUAUCUGACUCUCUUCUCCAAACGAUUAUGAUGUUGCCCCCAAAAGAGGUGACGUCGAAAUCGUUAACUAUGCAUUAAUGAAUAAUAACGCUGGUGAACGCUGGGCUAGAAUUACACUCACUAAUUUAUAAUCCGGUAAUUACAAUCCACACUUUAGCUUACCAAUAGACACUUCAACCCACCUGUUACGUUCUAAACAACAUCUAAGAUUUAUACAAUUAACCAGUGCAGUUUAGCUGAUCUUCACUCGCUCGAAUCAUCUAUCCACCUUUAAAAAUAUCGCCACAAAUAUCAUAUCCGAAUGAAUUUCAUACAACCG
rnacentral:misc_RNA from 1 species